rnacentral:lncRNA from 1 species
CUGAAAUUAUAAAAUACUUUCUCAUUCUCUCUUUUAGUAUUUUUAGAGUAACUUUAAAUCUUCAAUUUAUCUGGAAUUUAUUUUUAGUAUACAGUAUGAGGUAUGCCUUAACGUAAUUUUUUUUCCAGAUGGAUAUCCUGAUUUCUUUGCAACAGUUAUUGAAUAAGCCAUCUUUCUCUGAUGAUUUGAGAGGAGACCUCUCUCCAUAUUAAAUUCUCAUGUAUAUUUGAUUGUAUUUUUUUAUUUGAUUGUAUCUUUAAUAGAUUUUCUUCUGGUCACUGAUUUCUGUUUUAGUUAUUAUAACUUUAAAAUGUUUUAAUAUCUGGUAAUACUUUAAAUUUAUUUUUAGAAUAUGUAUUGCUAUUCUUAUUUGUUUUAUUUGUAGGAAUUUGAAAUCAGUUUACCUAUUUCCAAAAGAAAAUUCUGUUAGUAUUUUUAUUAGGUGAGCUUUAUUUAUUUACUUAUUUUUUUUUAUAAUAUUAGUGGGUUUUGUUCUCCAUUUUUUUUUUUUAAGAUUUUUGUUUGUUUCUUUGACAGAGAGAUAGAGAAUGCAAGUGGGCAGAAUAGCAGGCAGAGGAAGAAGGAGAAGCAGACUCCCCGCUGAACAGGGAGCCUGACAGGGGGCUUGAUCCCAGGACACGAAGGCAGCUGCUUAACUGACUGAGCCACCCAGGCACCCCUGUUUAUUUAUUUAUUCUUUAAGUAAUCUUUAGGCCCAAUAUGGGGCUCAAACUCAGGACUCUGAGAUCAAGAGUCACAUGUCCUACCCACUGAGCCAGCCAAACACACCAGGUACUAUAUGGGGCUCUAGGAAAUAUGAAUAACCAACCCUCACUGCCCUCCCUGAGAAAACUCAGAGAGAGGAACAACUCUUUUUGAAGGCCUCUUUCCUGGCAGACCCUGCCGUCUAGUCUCCUGUCUGAAUCCUCUUUCAGAACAAGGCUGACCUCUCUCCAUGGGUAGCUUACUCCUCAGGUGUUUACAAAGGAAAACUCACCUGCACUCUCAACCGUCUCCCAGAAGAAACUCCUCUCCCAAAGAAUCCAGGGUCUUGGGAGAAAGGAGGAGGCUGGUGAGCUCCUGCUCAGCGCUUUCUCCUCAGAAGACAUUCGCGUGAGAAGAAUGGACUUUUUCGGGGCGCCUGGGUGGCUCAGUGGGUUAAAGCCUCUGCCUUCGACUUGGGUCAUGAUCCCAGAGUCCUGGGAUCAACCCCACAUCGGGCUCUCUGCUCA